UGUUAAGUUGGAUGUGAAAGCCCUGGGCUCAACCUAGGAACUGCAUCCAAAACUAACUCACUAGAGUACGAUAGAGGGAGGUAGAAUUCAUAGUGUAGCGGUGGAAUGCGUAGAUAUUAUGAAGAAUACCAGUGGCGAAGGCGGCCUCCUGGAUCUGUACUGACACUAAGGUGCGAAAGCGUGGGUAGCGAACAGGAUUAGAUACCCUGGUAGUCCACGCCGUAAACGAUGACAACUAGCUGUUGGAAGACAACGUCUUUCAGUGGCGCAGCUAACGUUUUAAGUUGUCCGCCUGGGGAGUACGGCCGCAAGGCUAAAACUCAAAUGAAUUGACGGGGACCCGCACAAGCGGUGGAGCAUGUGGUUUAAUUCGAUGCAACGCGAAAAACCUUACCUACUCUUGACAUACUUGGAAACUCUUGUAAUGAGAGUGUGCCUUUUGGAACCAAGAUACAGGUGCUGCAUGGCUGUCGUCAGCUCGUGUCGUGAGAUGUUCCGUUAAGUCGGAUAACGAGCGCAACCCUUACCCUUAUUUGCCAGCGAUUCGGUCGGGAACUAUAAGGGGACUGCCGGUGAUAAACCGGAGGAAGGUGAGGACGACGUCAAGUCAUCAUGGCCCUUACGAGUAGGGCUACACACGUGCUACAAUGGGGAAUACAGACGGACGCUAAGCCG
rnacentral:rRNA from 1 species